AGAGUUUGAUCAUGGCUCAGGAUAAACGCUGGCGGCGUGCCUAACACAUGCAAGUCGAACGCCCUCGCGCAAGCGAGGGAGUGGCGGACGGGUGAGGAACACGUGGGUUAUCUACCUUGAGGUGAGGAAUACCGGCGAGAAAUCGCCGACAAGACCGCAUACGCUUCGCGAGAAGCAAAGUCAUAAGACGCCACAAGAUG
rnacentral:rRNA from 1 species